GACGAACGCUGGCGGCGUGCUUAACACAUGCAAGUCGAACGAUGAAGCCGGAGCUUGCUCUGGUGAAUUAGUGGCGAACGGGUGAGUAACACGUGAGUAACCUCCCCUUGACUCUGGGAUAACUGCUAGAAAUGGUAGCUAAUACCGGAUACGACCCUCGGAGGCAUCUCCAGGGGGUGGAAAGAAUUUCGGUCAAGGAUGGACUCGCGGCCUAUCAGCUAGUUGGUGGGGUAACGGCUCACCAAGGCGACGACGGGUAGCCGGCCUGAGAGGGUGACCGGCCGCACUGGGACUGAGACACGGCCCAGACGCCUUCGGGGGGCAGCAGUGGGGAAUUUUGGGCAAGGGGGGCAUCCCUGAUCCAGCAAUGCCGCGUGAGUGAAGAAGGCCUUCGGGUUGUAAAGCUCUUUUGUCAGGGAAGAAAAACCGGCUCUAACACAGUCUGGGAAUGACGGUACCUGAAGAAUAAGCACCGGCUAAC
rnacentral:rRNA from 1 species